UACGUAGGGUGCAAGCGUUAAUCGGAAUUACUGGGCGUAAAGCGUGCGCAGGCGGUUCGCUAAGACAGAUGUGAAAUCCCCGGGCUUAACCUGGGAACUGCAUUUGUGACUGCAUGGCUGGAGUGCGGCAGAGAGGGAUGGAAUUCCGCGUGUAGCAGUGAAAUGCGUAGAGAUGUGGAGGAACACCGAUGGCGAAGGCAGCCCCCUGGGCUAACACUGACGCUCAUGCACGAAAGCGUGGGGAGCAAACAGG
rnacentral:rRNA from 1 species